rnacentral:rRNA from 1 species
GUGGAUUAGAUACCCUGGUAGUCCACGCCCUAAACGAUGUCAACUAGUUGUCGGGAGGGUAACCCUCUUGGUAACGCAGCUAACGCGUGAAGUUGACCGCCUGGGGAGUACGGUCGCAAGAUUAAAACUCAAAGGAAUUGACGGGGGCCCGCACAAGCGGUGGAUUAUGUGGAUUAAUUCGAUGCAACGCGAAAAACCUUACCUACCCUUGACAUGUACGGAACUUGCCAGAGAUGGCUUGGUGCUCGAAAGAGAACCGUAACACAGGUGCUGCACGGUCGUCGCCAACU